GUGAUAACUUUAACGGCCGCGGUAUUCUAACCGUGCAAAGGUAGCGUAAUCAUUUGUCUUCUAAAUAAAGACCUGUAUGAACGGCUAAAUGAGGACAGCACUGUCUUUUAUAACUAAUCAGUGAAAUUGAUCUACCAGUACAAAAGCUGGAAUAAAAACAUAAGACGAGAAGACCCUGUGGAGCUUUAAACCAACCCUUAAUAAGCACGAAAUCCAAGCCUGCCAAUAACGGGGCGUUUUGAGUUGGGGCGACUUCGGAAUAAAACAAAACUUCCAAGCACAGAGACACACACUCUUACUGCGGCUAACAGGCCAAGGUAAAACAUACCAGAUCCAGUACCACUGAUCAACGAACCAAGUUACCCCAGGGAUAACAGCGCCAUCUUCUUCAAGAGUUCCUAUCGACAAGAAGGUUUACGACCUCGAUGUUGGAUCAGGACACCCAAAUGGUGCAGCUGCUAUUAACGGUUCGUUUGUUCAACGAUUAACAGUCCUACGUGAUCUGA
rnacentral:rRNA from 1 species